ensembl:lncRNA
GUUGAUGGGAAAAUGGUGUCAACGAGGACGGUCAUUGCUAACGCCAUCCCUCCCUACGGCUCCCUGUGGCUGGGCUGUCGUCCCAGAGAGCAACCCCCAACGGGCAAACUCGGACAGGUGGAGCUGUACUUGUUCCGCAUGUGGCCAGACCUGGGUUACCAUUGGUUCUGUGAGGAUGGCACUGUGAUUGGCUGGGAGUCCCAUUAUUGGGGGGUGACCAGUCACAAAGCUAUCCAGAGAGACCCCUACCUCCUCUGUGCUACUACACGUGGAUUGAGACGGUCGUUGCUGCCUUCACCUGACAUUCCAUCUUUAAUCCCGUCCUCUAACACCAGUCCGGCCAAUCACAUCUCAGCAAGCACCCAGACAUCACCAACCACAACUCUGCCUGCACAAAUCACAUCUGGAACAUCAUUCUCAUCAGCAUCUCCACUGUCAGGCUGUAACGUCAGCCAACUCUGCUCCAAUACAAGUGCUUACUACUGGAUGCCCAUAAAUGUGGAGGCCGAAGACGGCAACAAGACUGAACAAGAUGUCCGCAAUUUGGUGUCAGAAGCGUUUGUUUGUCACACUGACGGCGGUGAUGCAGCACAAGCGGUAACAAGCUUUAUGGAUUUCUGUCAGGGUGACAGACAACUUCAGGUAGCAGAGGUGUCCUGCAGUGCAAAAAUCAAUAUAAG